rnacentral:rRNA from 1 species
CCUACGGGCGGCAGCAGUGAGGAAUAUUGGUCAAUGGGCGCUAGCCUGAACCAGCCAAGUAGCGUGAAGGAUGACUGCCCUAUGGGUUGUAAACUUCUUUUAUAUGGGAAUAAAGUGCAGUAUGUAUACUGCUUUGCAUGUACCUUAUGAAUAAGGCUCGGCUAACUCCGUGCCAGCAGCCGCGGUAAUACGGAGGCUCCGAGCGUUAUCCGGAUUUAUUGGGGUUAAAGGGAGCGUAGGCGGGUUGUUAAGUCAGUUGUGAAAGUUUGCGGCUCAACCGUAAAAUUGCAGUUGAUACUGGGAUUCUUGAGUACAGGAGAGGUAGGCGGAAUUCGUGGUGUAGGGGUAAAAUGCGUAGAGAUCACGAAGAACUCCGAUUGCGAAGGCAGCCUGCUGGAAUAUAACUGACGCUGAUGCUCGAAAGUGUGGGGAGCAAACAGGAUUAGAUACCCUGGUAGUC